AUACCUACCUGACGUCGGGAUACCGUGAUCAUGCAGGCAGUGCCCCGGGGUGCAGCUGCUCCAUUACACUGCGGAGUGGUUGACCCUUGCGAUUAUUUUUAUAGUUUAUAAGUUUUACUCCUACCGUGUAUAAUUUGC
rnacentral:snRNA from 9 species